rnacentral:rRNA from 1 species
AUUAUCUUAGCUUAAUAAUACCUAUUCUUUAGUCUGCUAUAUUUUCUAAUUAUAUUCUAAGGCUUAGCUGCUAGCAGCAGCUCUAGAAUAUUAGUAUACUUUGCUUUACUUCCUUUUACUUUCUUUUCUUACUUCUAAAAAAGCAAUUUUUAUAUUACUAGCUACUAAGAGUACCUAUAACGAGCUCUAGUAAGAAGCAAAACUUUACGCCUAUAUUAGCCUUUACUUUGCUAUACUGCGCUAAAUCUAAUUUUAAUAAGCUUAUACUAAAGCGCUUAUAUCUACUAAACCUUAUAAACGCGCGCGCUUAAAAUCUUUUACUUUAGUUAAGCUAGCGUUAUUAUUAUUAAAACUAGGCUUAUACUAAAGCACUCUAAACAUCUAGCUAGCAGUAGAGGUUAUAGCGCAAGCGUCUAAAAUAUUCCUAGAAAAAAAACUUGCUCUUUUAAGUAUUCUCUAAAUAGUUUUAGACUUAAUUUUCGUAGCAUAGAGUAGAUAAGGCAGAAAAGGUUACAGAGGUAAAGCAAAUUUAGUAUAAAACUUACGUAACUUAUGCAGCUAUACUAAAACUAUAAACUUACGUUCGCUAAGUUCUACUUAUAUAGCUAAACUAAAGAAACUUACUAAAGUUUUCCUUUACUCUCUACUAAGCUCUAGCUACCUCUAGCUAAGCUUAGUAAUACUUUCUAGGCUCUUUUAGCUUUCUUUAUAGCUUAAGAGACCUUGCUAAGUUUAGAAGAAGCAUGUAUAAGAGAUACUAGAGAGGUUUAUAUACAAGUAAAGCAUUUCUGCUUAACUUACUAUCUACUCUCUAACUUACUACCUACGCUCUAGUAUAUCUUACUUGCUCUAGCUUUCUCUUCUCUUUUCUUUUACUUUAGCUAGUCUACUCUAGGCUAGCGUAUACGCUAGCCUAGCGCCUGCACGCCUUGCAGUAUAUAUAGCUAGCUACUUUCUUCUCUUAGUAAACUCUUUGUCUACUAUUCUACCUUUAGUUAAAUAUAAGUACUUCUUAUUAACCUAAGCCUUCUAUGCCUACAGUCUGCCUUAUAAGUAGUAAUAUAUUUAGUUUUAUAAGGUAAAGUAAAUAAUUAGAAGCCUAGAGGUUAAAAUAACCUUUAUCUAUUCUUAAACUUUAAAUAUAUAAGAAGUUCUUAUUACUUAAUUAAACGUAGAUACUUAAAUAUACUAUUACUAGUAAGCUAUUUUUAGUAAGUAGAACUAGCGAUAUAAGAUAAACUAAAUAUAGAGUUAAGGUACUAGAAUAUAUACUUAUUAGAUACUAUAAAAGAUGUUAGUUUAUCUAGAUAGCAGGACAGUAGCUAUAGAAGUUAGAAUCUGCUAAGAAGUAUAUAAUAACUUACCUGCUAAAUAAACUAGCUCUAAAAAUAGAUAGCGCUUAAGCGUAUUACCUAUACUUUACUGCUAGAGCAGAAUUUAUACUCUAGCAAGUAGGUAGGCGUAGAGGCUUAUAACGAAGCCUUAGAGAUAACUCUAGGUUAAAUAGCCUCUAGUGCAGAUCUUAGUAGUAGUAGUAAAUACUUAAAUAAGAACUUUAAGAACUAAAGUAGAGAAAGGUUCUAUAUAAAUAGUAGUUAGAUAUAGGUUAGUUAAUUCUAAGAGAUAGAGUAGUUCUAUUUUAAUAUUAGCGCUUAUGCUAUACUCUUAAAAGAAAAGCUAGUUAAUAUUCUAGCACUUAGAUAUAGAUUCUCUAUAGCAACGUAACUAAGAGCGAAGACCUUAGCAGAAGCUCUAAGAAGAGUUCUCUUUUCUUCUUAAUAGUCUAUUACUCUAAAAUUAGUUUAUCUAGAGCUAGAGUUUAAUAGCUAGAAGAGCACUGCACUUUUAUAAUAUUUAGUGCACUUCUAAUAAGCCUUAAAAAUCUGCUUAAAGAAAUAGUUUUUAUGCUAGAUUAUACUUAUAACUAUAGUAAGUCUCUAAGGUAAAAAGCCUCUAGUUAAUAGAAUAAUAUAGAUAAGAGAAGUUAGCAAAAUAGAUUUAUAACUUUAGAAAAAGAAUUAGCUCUAAGAGUUAAGUACGUUAGGCCUUAGAGAGAAGCCUCUAGCGCAGAAGAGCACUAGCUAUAAGAUAAGCGCCUUUUAGCGCUAAGAUAUAAGCAUCCUUAGCAGGCUUUAGCUAUCUAGCGUACGUUUAACAACUAACUUAGAACUAGUAUAGAUAAGAGAAAUCUAACUGUCUAAUUAAAAUAUAGCAUUGUAAUAGCUAGAAAGUAGUAUUAACGUAAUGUAAUUUCUACCUAGUGCUCUAAAUAUUAAAGCAAAGAGAUUUAACUAAGCGCAGGUAAACAGCAGAAGUAACUAUAACUUUCUUAAGAUAGCUAAAUACCUUAUUAUCUAAUUAGUGACGCGCAUAAAUAGAUUAAUAAGAUUCCUACUAUCUCUAUCUACUAUCUAGCAAAACUACAGCUAAGAGAAUAGGCUUAGCUAAAUUAGCAGAGAAAGAAGACCUUAUUAAGCUUAACUCUAGUUUAAUAUUAUAAAAAGACAUAGAGAGUGUAGAAUAGGUAGAAGCUUCAGCGCUAGUAAAAUACUACUACUCUUAUUAUUUUUUUACUUAUUUAAUAAAGCAGAGCUAGGCUUUACUGCUUAACUUCUAGCGUUAAGGUCCUUUAUAGGCUAAUCUAAGUUAAAGAUAUUAUUAGGUAGAGAGUUUAGCUAAGGCAGUAUAUCUAUUAAACUAUAACACAGAUGUUCUAAGAGAGACUUAUAGAGAACAGAAAUCUCUAGUAGAGCAAAAGAGCAAAAGUCUCCUUAAUUUUGAUUUUUAGUGUGAAUAUAAACUAUAAAAGUAUAGCCUAUUAAUUCUUUAGUCUCUUGAAAUUUAAGGCUAGAGGUGCUAGAAAAGUUACUACAGAGAUAACUAGCUUAUAGCAGCUAAGCGUUUAUAGCGACGUUGCUUUUUAAUUCUUUAAUAUUAGCUCUUUCUAUUAUACUAAAGUAGAAUUUAGUAAGCGUUAGAUUAUUUACCUACUAAUAGAGAACGUAAGCUAAGUUUAGACUAUCAUAAGACAGGUUAGUUUUACUCUACUAAUAACCUUGCUCUAAUAGUAAUACUGCUUAGUAUAAGAGGAACUGCAGUUUUAGAUAAUUAGUUUUUGCAGCUAUCUAACUAGGCAUUACUGCAAAGCUACUAUCUGCUAGAUUAUAGCUAAACGCCUCUAAGUUAGAAUCUAUGCUAGAAUAGAGUAAUUUCUGCCUACACUAGUUAGAUAUAAAUAGGCCUUUAGCCUAGAACCUUACUAGAUUAGCGUUAGCAGUCUUAUUAAAAUUAAGGCUGCUAGCUAGUAUAUUGCAAUUAUAUAGUGCGCAGAAUUAAAUCCUUUGCAGAUAACUUA